GACGAACGCUGGCGGCGUGCUUAACACAUGCAAGUCGAACGGAAAGGCCCCUUUGGGGGUACUCGAGUGGCGAACGGGUGAGUAACACGUGAGUAACCUGCCCUUGACUUCGGGAUAACUUCAGGAAACUGGGGCUAAUACCGGAUAGGAAUCCUUGCUGCAUGGUGGGGGUUGGAAAGCUUCGGCGGUUUUGGAUGGACUCGCGGCUUAUCAGCUUGUUGGUGGGGUAGUGGCUUACCAAGGCUUUGACGGGAAGCCGGCCUGAGAGGGCGACCGGCCACAUUGGGACUGAGAUACGGCCCAGACUCCUACGGGAGGCAGCAGUGGGGAAUAUUGCACAAUGGGCGGAAGCCUGAUGCAGCAACGCCGCGUACGGGAUGACGGCCUUCGGGUUGUAAACCGCUUUCAGCAGGGGCGAAGCUUGUGGUGACGGUACCUGCAGAAGAAGCACCGGCUAACUACGUG
rnacentral:rRNA from 1 species